rnacentral:rRNA from 1 species
UACGAAGGGGGCUAGCGUUGCUCGGAAUCACUGGGCGUAAAGCGCACGUAGGCGGGCUCUUAAGUCGGUGGUGAAAUCCUGGAGCUCAACUCCAGAACUGCCUCCGAUACUGAGAGUCUUCGAGUCCGGGAGAGAUGAGUGGAACUGCGAGUGUAGAGGUGAAAUUCGUAGAUAUUCGCAAGAACACCAGUGGCGAAGGCGGCUCACUGGCCCGGUACUGACGCUGAGGUGCGAAAGCGUGGGGAGCAAACAGG